UAUUAGAGUUAGCUUAUCCUCAGCAGUCUUUAGUCUCGGUUCUGCAUAUACUAAGUAAGUGAUGUUGCAGUUUCUUAGUCUCAUCGCCUUUUUAUGCAUCUGCUGACCUCUUCCAUGGACCUCUUCUUUUAUUUCUCUGCUUUAUUCAGUCUAUGAAGAUGAAAGCAGCAGAUGAAGAAGUGCUUUAUUCAGUCUAUGAAGAUGAAAGCAGCAGAUGAAGAAGCUAAAGCUAGAUGAAGAAGGAUCAAAAAGCAGCAGAUGAAGAAGCAGAUGAAGAAGCUAAAGCUAGAUUUGGACACAUUGAUGGAGAUCAUCUAACGUUGUUGUUGAAUCGUCUACCACGCUUUUAAGCAAAAACA
rnacentral:lncRNA from 1 species